CAGGUGGUGGCUUCACUUUUAGAUCACUUAUAAUUAGUUUUUGCCGUGGUACUUCAUAGUGAAAAGCAAGAAAACAUCGACCCAUUGCAAACAAAGCUUCCAAGGAAAUGUACACACGGUAUGGGCUCUGGUGGAAUUUCAUCCCGGACAUCGUACCCGGAUCCGGAUCUCGGCUCAGAAGUGGAGGCUUAACUUGGAUUACUUUUAAUCAGUUACGGUGUGAUACUUCAAAGGGGAAAGCAAGAUCGCACAGGCGGUAAAGAACAUAACGGGACCAUUGGACCGUUAUAGCGUUACCGUUCCUCCACAACACAUCAAACACAACGUGGUAGAAAAUAUUCCGGCCCCAACAAGGGCCGCCAUUCCCUCGGUGGCUGCGUCAACAAUUUCUGGUAUAGAAAACAUCUCCCCACCAGCCGGUCAUCCAUUAACGAUUAAUACUAAACGACGAAGAACCGAAUAAAGGACAUUCGUGUUCCUUUCUACAUUCUAUAGAAUAUUCACAAACUGCGCUUCGAAGGUCCCACCUAAGAAAAACCCUUGUAUUUCUUUUCAUGUCACCUUCUGUUGAUGACGAAUGAGCUUCGAAUUAGGUAAACUCGAACAACCCUCAAGCCAUCUCCUCACAACAUUGGUCCUCGAAGAUGGUUUCGCAUGAUGUGGUUGUCAUCCCGAAGACUUUAUCAACACCUGAAAACAGACGAAUCGCUGAAAAAAUAAGCUUGUAUUGUAUUUAAUAUAAGCUAUGAUUUAAAAUAUAA